AGGGGCAAAGAUAAAAACACAAUGCAAGAGAAUCUUGCAGAACCGGUAGGUAGUCCGGUCGCACCGAUUUGGUGUAAGUAGCCCUCCCUCCUUAGGGUCGUCCGUUCUUUGUUCAUUACAA
rnacentral:ncRNA from 1 species